rnacentral:rRNA from 1 species
UACGGAGGGAGCUAGCGUUGUUCGGAAUUACUGGGCGUAAAGGGCUUGUAGGUGGCCAACUAAGUCAGACGUGAAAUCCCUCGGCUUAACCGGGGAACUGCGUCUGAUACUGGAUGGCUAGAGUGUGGGAGAGGGGUGCGGAAUUCCCGGUGUAGCGGUGGAAUGCGUAGAGAUCGGGAAGAACAUCGGUGGCGAAGGCGGUCUGCUGGGCCGUUGCUGACGCUGAGGCGCGACAGCGUGGGGAGCAAACAGG